UACGUAGGUGGCAAGCGUUGUCCGGAAUUAUUGGGCGUAAAGCGCGCGCAGGCGGGAUAACAAGUCUGUUGUAAAAGUUCGGGGCUUAACCCCGUAAAGCGAUGGAAACUGUUAUUCUUGAGUGUCGGAGAGGAAAGCGGAAUUCCCAGUGUAGCGGUGAAAUGCGUAGAUAUUGGGAGGAACACCAGUGGCGAAGGCGGCUUUCUGGACGAUGUCUGACGCUGAGGCGCGAAAGCCAGGGUAGUGAACGGG
rnacentral:rRNA from 1 species